rnacentral:rRNA from 1 species
GACGAACGCUGGCGGCGUGCUUAACACAUGCAAGUCGAACGGAAAGGCCCUGCUUUUGUGGGGUGCUCGAGUGGCGAACGGGUGAGUAACACGUGAGUAACCUGCCCUUGACUUUGGGAUAACUUCAGGAAGCUGGGGCUAAUACCGGAUAGGAGCUCCUGCUGCAUGGUGGGGGUUGGAAAGUUUCGGCGGUUGGGGAUGGACUCGCGGCUUAUCAGCUUGUUGGUGGGGUAGUGGCUUACCAAGGCUUUGACGGGUAGCCGGCCUGAGAGGGUGACCGGCCACAUUGGGACUGAGAUACGGCCCAGACCCCUACGGGAGGCAGCAGUGGGGAAUAUUGCACAAUGGGCGGAAGCCUGAUGCAGCAACGCCGCGUGCGGGAUGACGGCCUUCGGGUUGUAAACCGCUUUCGCCUGUGACGAAGCGUGAGUGACGGUAAUGGGUAAAGAAGCACCGGCUAACUACGUG